rnacentral:rRNA from 1 species
UACGAAGGGGGCUAGCGUUGUUCGGAAUUACUGGGCGUAAAGCGCACGUAGGCGGACAUUUAAGUCAGGGGUGAAAUCCCGGGGCUCAACCCCGGAACGGCCUUUGAUACUGGGUGUCUUGAGUUCGGAAGAGGUGAGUGGAAUUGCGAGUGUAGAGGUGAAAUUCGUAGAUAUUCGCAGGAACACCAGUGGCGAAGGCGGCUCACUGGUCCGAUACUGACGCUGAGGUGCGAAGGCUAGGGGAGCGAACGGG